rnacentral:rRNA from 1 species
AGCGAACGCUGGCGGCAGGCUUAACACAUGCAAGUCGAACGGGCAUCUUCGGAUGUCAGUGGCAGACGGGUGAGUAACACGUGGGGACGUACCCUUCGGUUCGGAAUAACUCAGGGAAACUUGAGCUAAUACCGGAUACGCCCUUUUGGGGAAAGGUUUACUGCCGAAGGAUCGGCCCGCGUCUGAUUAGCUUGUUGGUGGGGUAACGGCCUACCAAGGCGACGAUCAGUAGCUGGUCUGAGAGGAUGAUCAGCCACACUGGGACUGAGACACGGCCCAGACUCCUACGGGAGGCAGCAGUGGGGAAUAUUGGACAAUGGGCGCAAGCCUGAUCCAGCCAUGCCGCGUGAGUGAUGAAGGCCUUAGGGUUGUAAAGCUCUUUUGUCCGGGACGAUAAUGACGGUACCGGAAGAAUAAGCCCCGGCUAACUUCGUG